GUGGAUGCUUUAGAAUUUUUUGAUCCAGGCCUGUAAGUAAGCAUGUAGUUAAACCAUGUAAAGAACAAGGACCUACGAGCUUGUCUGGCAGGUAACCUCUUUGCCUCUCCUACAUAAGACAGGCUUUUAUGGCCGGUUAAAAUUAUAACCGGCCAUCUAAUAGAUGUCUCCAUUCCUUUAAUGUCAUUAUUACUGCCAACAGCUCUCUAUCUCCAAUGUCAUACCUUUU